UAAGACGAACCAUGCGAACGUUAUUCGGAAUUACUGGGCUUAAAGCGUGCGUAGGCGGCUCAGAAAGUUGGGUGUGAAAUGCCUCGGCUCAACCGAGGAAUUGCGCCCAAAACUACUGGGCUUGAGGGAGUUAGAGGUGAGCGGAACUCACGGUGGAGCGGUGAAAUGCGUUGAUAUCGUGAGGAACACCGGAGGCGAAAGCGGCUCACUGGGGCUUCACUGACGCUGAGGCACGAAAGCUAGGGGAGCAAACGGGAUUAGAUACCCCGGUAGUCCUAGCCGUAAACGAUGAGCACUGGGUCGAGGGGACCUCCACAUCCCCCCGGCCGUAGCAAAAGCGUUAAGUGCUCCGCCUGGGGAGUAGGUCGCAAGGCU
rnacentral:rRNA from 1 species